rnacentral:rRNA from 1 species
CCUACGGGGGGCAGCAGUGGGGAAUAUUGGACAAUGGGGGCAACCCUGAUCCAGCCAUGCCGCGUGUGUGAAGAAGGCCCUCGGGUGGUAAAGCACUUUCAGUGAGGAAGAACGCCUGGUGGUUAAUACCCAUCAGGAAAGACAUCACUCACAGAAGAAGCACCGGCUAACUCCGUGCCAGCAGCCGCGGUAAUACGGAGGGUGCGAGCGUUAAUCGGAAUUACUGGGCGUAAAGCGCGCGUAGGUGGCUUGAUAAGCCGGUUGUGAAAGCCCCGGGCUCAACCUGGGAACGGCAUCCGGAACUGUCCAGCUAGAGUGCAGGAGAGGAAGGUAGAAUUCCCCGUGUAGCGGUGAAAUGCGUAGAGAUCGGGAGGAAUACCAGUGGCGAAGGCGGCCUUCUGGACUGACACUGACACUGAGGUGCGAAAGCGUGCGUAGCAAACAGGAUGAGCUACCCUUGUAGUC